rnacentral:lncRNA from 1 species
AUGGCUUUUGGCGACUACCCCGCGGAGUACAAUCCCAAGGUGCAUGGUCCCUAUGACCCUGCACGGUUCUACGGCAAACGUAAGU